rnacentral:rRNA from 1 species
CCUACGGGGGGCUGCAGUGGGGAAUAUUGGACAAUGGGGGGAACCCUGAUCCAGCCAUGCCGCGUGUGUGAAGAAGGCCCUCGGGUUGUAAAGCACUUUCAGUGAGGAAGAACGCCUGGUGGUUAAUACCCAUCAGGAAAGACAUCACUCACAGAAGAAGCACCGGCUAACUCCGUGCCAGCAGCCGCGGUAAUACGGAGGGUGCGAGCGUUAAUCGGAAUUACUGGGCGUAAAGCGCGCGUAGGUGGCUUGAUAAGCCGGUUGUGAAAGCCCCGGGCUCAACCUGGGAACGGCAUCCGGAACUGUCAAGCUAGAGUGCAGGAGAGGAAGGUAGAAUUCCCGGUGUAGCGGUGAAAUGCGUAGAGAUCGGGAGGAAUACCAGUGGCGAAGGCGGCCUUCUGGACUGACACUGACACUGAGGUGCGAAAGCGUGGGUAGCAAACAGGAUUAGAUCCCUAGUAGUC